rnacentral:rRNA from 1 species
GAUGAACGCUGGCGGCGUGCCUAAUACAUGCAAGUCGAGCGAACGGACGAGAAGCUUGCUUUUCUGAUGUUGGCGGCGGACGGGUGAGUAACACGUGGAUAACCUACCUAUAAGACUGGGAUAACUUCGGGAAACCGGAGCUAAUACCGGAUAAUAUUUUGAACCGCAUGGUUCAAAAGUGAAAGACGGUCUUGCUGUCACUUAUAGAUGGAUCCGCGCUGCAUUAGCUAGUUGGUAAGGUAACGGCUUACCAAGGCAACGAUGCAUAGCCGACCUGAGAGGGUGAUCGGCCACACUGGAACUGAGACACGGUCCAGACUCCUGCGGGAGGCAGCAGUAGGGAAUCUUCCGCAAUGGGCGAAAGCCUGACGGAGCAACGCCGCGUGAGUGAUGAAGGUCUUCGGAUCGUAAAACUCUGUUAUUAGGGAAGAACAUAUGUGUAAGUAACUGUGCACAUCUUGACGGUACCUAAUCAGAAAGCCACGGCUAACUACGUG